GCCAUUUCUAGGGCUGCUCCCAUGGCACAUGGAGGUUUGCAGGCUAGGGGUUGAAUUGGAGCUGUAGCUGCCGGCCUACACCAGAGCCACAGCAACAUAGGAUCUGAGGCCCCUCUGCAACCUACACCACAGCUCACGGCAACACUGGCUCUUUAACCCAUUCAGCAAGGCCAGGGACCGAACCCGCAACCUCAUGGGUCCUAGUCGGAUUCAAUAACCACUGAGCCACGGUGGGAACUCCUGGAUCUUUUUGUCAACUACAAGGCAAACCCUGCCUGGAGUUGACCUGGUGCCCAGCAGCUGCCAAGCAGCCUCCUUUGGGACUCCAUUCUGACCGGUCCCAUUAGGAUUGGUUUUGAAACCUUUGCACUGGCCCGUAUGUGUGCGCGGCCUCGACGCGAAUGCCAUGAGUGACUUUACAGUAUAUUCGAAACAGAUCCCUGGACAGCUUCUUUCAAGAAACACGGGUUUGCCACUGAUUUCAGAAGAAUAUCCAUGAGUCAUCCAUUCGAUUCUCUGAACAGAUACUGCUGACUUUAGGCAGAACAGCAGGAGGGAUGGGUCUCUGAGGUGUGGUGGAAUCUGGCACCUGCACAGCUGGCCGGCCUGGGAGCAGUAACUCUUAGCCCCUGCCAUGGAUCAAAGGCUGAGCGAGAAGGGAGCUGUGGCCUCUGCCAACUGGCAGCCAGAUCCAGAGCUGAACUUUAAUUCUUAACAGCCAGGUUUGCUCUGUGCACAUUCAUGAAAAGCCCCCUGAGUGCCCAAGGUGGUUUCUCUGCUCAUUAAAUUGAGUUUGUGGUCAGCCUUCUGCCUAAAAAAAGCACAACAAUCGCACUGACUGCGACUUCAGGUGCAAGUGGUGUUUAUUCCCUCUAACUAAAAGAUGAAGACUGUACAGCACUCCCUUUCCCCGGCCCACGUCCAGAAUUAAGUUAAAUUCAGAUUUUGCAAAGGUGUGAACUAAAUACAAGCAACCCUCAUGCUUCGGGCCCAGGCACUCAGUGACCGGCAGGAGGCAGCCAGAACCACUGUAUUUUCUGCAAAAACUCCUGGGGCCGCCCGGACCUUACCUGGAACAGGAGCUCCUGGAAGGCUCUCCUUCCUGCAGAAGCUACGCUGAGUCUCCUCCCCUUAAAGGCUGGCAGCUCUGCCAGCCCAACGUCAUCUCUGUCCACGGGCACCCCGGAGAUGCUCGCCCAGCAUCCCCAGGCAGCUUGUGACUUGUCCAGAAAGCGCAUAGGCCUAGGGUUACCCCCAGGUGUCCCCCAUGUCCCUUCAUUUCCUACUCUGUCCGCUGAUGUGCUCCCAUCCCAGGGCACCUGGUCUUUUUCCCCCCAAGGAGAGACCUUCCCUCCGCUGUUCAAAGUUGAAGAAGCCAAAAGGGACUGGAUCAGAUUUCAUGGCCAUACGGGGCCUUGGCCCCUCGUGUAGGUGGGCCUGGCCUAAACACGUGAACACGAGGACGUGUUCAGAACACACCGCCCACGCUCGUUCGUGCCAUCCCCACUGCCUGGCGGUGCUCUCAGGAGAGGAUGCCCAGGCUGAGAAGUCACGUGGGGCAGGCUGGCUCGGGAGGCUGCAGGGAACCCGUGUCAGGUGCUGCAAGCCACUCACAGGGAGAGGCUGAGGUUUCUGUGCCAUGCUAGCUCCUGCCCCGAGGGAAGGGAAAUACCACGUCCCCAAGACCAGGGGUGUUGGAUGAGAUGACAGAGAUGGUGGCGAAGGGGCCCAGGACGGUGGGAGGCAUGAGGCCUGAGUGCCCUUCUCUCAGCUUUUCCUCCCGGCCCUCCUCCCGGGGUCCCUCCUCCUCCUCCCUCCUUCCCUACUUGGCCCUCAUAGGUCCUGGAUGGGGAGCACAGGGAGAGCAACCCCCUAGAGGCCUGCCCUUGUUUAAUAAGCUGCUGUUUCAGAGAUGGGUGCAAACUCCCUGCACCUAAGACACAGCUGCUGCUCCGAGGCCUCCAACAGACAGAAUUGUGGCGGCGAGGGGGGGAGGCGAGAGGCCUUAUGCCUAAGGGGACAGAAAGGCCAAGUGGAGGCAGCUUUGAACUUGGCCUGGACCCCAUCUGCUCCACUGCUGCUCAGGAUGGGCAGGGGCCAGGCACAGACUCGCUGAAGAAGACCGGGCUCUUGCUAUCGGGUUUAAUCUGGAUCCCGGAAAGAAAGAUGGGAGGGAUAAAACAGGUUGAAACCGGAUGAGGGGCCAGGAACAUGCUGCAGUCCCAGGGGACCUUGGGGUGCCCACCCAUCUGAAGAUUUUUUUCUUCUUAGUCCUUUUAAAGAUGAGAAAACAGGGACCCUGAGACAUCAGCUGUCCAAGAUCACAAAACCGUCCCCUGGUAGAGCCCGACAAAACUCAUGUCACUUCACUCCCUGACCUGGGAUUCUGCUGCUGAUGCUUCCUCUGCAGCUUGAGAAGAAUGUAGAUGAAAUAAAGUAAAAUAAAGUAGGAUUCGCAAACUCCAUGAUUGUUCCUCCAGUGUCGCAACUAAGCAAGGCUGCCCGGGCAUCGUUCUCCACAAAGGACAGAAGUCCUCCUAAAAUUGCUUCCCCCCCUCAUCUCCCCACCUCCGAGUGUCGCUGCUGAAAUAGAGGUUUGGACCUUGGGUAGCAUAAUUAGUUCAUUCUGUCCGCCCUCCCUCUUCUCCGCGAGCUCCAGGUCUCAUCAUCUCAGCUUUCCACCCUGCCCCUGAGAGCUGCCACAAAGGCUUUCUGACUCAAGGGGACCCAGGAUUGCGAUGGCAUCAGAAGAGACUUUGUGAUUCUCUCCAUCAGACCCCCAAACAACUUUCCAGCUAGAAGUAGAAUCUUCUGUAUGUGCUGGUCCAGUUUUAUUCUUAUGAGUCACACCUAUUUGGGGCCCCUCCCAUGUAACCAUACGACAAACCAUGUUGUCCAAACAAAAACAAAUGUGAUCUAGAAAGACUUGAGAAGAGUUAGUCUGAGUGGCCAGGCUGCUGAAUCCCAAGACCUCAGUCUCUUGCUGUAUGAUAACAGGGAGAAAGAGGGGGCUGGCAAAGGCCGAGGGGUUUAAAUCUUUCUAGACAUGGAAACCAUUCACCCAACUCUGUUUUUCAUUUUUGUGUGUGUUUUGGUGAAUUAAGGAGAAGCAGCUUCUGGCCCAGUCUUCCCGAGGCAGGGGAUAGAUGGGCUCCAGGAUAGACACUUAAAACCAGCCUCUUCUUUAUACUUCCUGAGGGAGGAAACAAGUGGGCUGCAGGAUAGACGUGUAGAACCAGCCACCUAUCUGAACCUCAACAUAGAGCUAACAGGCACAAGGCAAAUAACUGGUGGGUGUCUUCUGUGAACUUGUGAAAUAAACGGUAAUGACAGAUGAGAAGAGGGGCUGAGCCCUGCUUGGGCAAAAGACCAAGAGGUCACAUACUUCCUAUCCUCAGGGUCAAGGAGACCCCAACUCCACAGGUGCAGCAAGCCCCUCUGGGUCAGAAAGGGAGGGGGCGCCAGGCCAUGCUAAGUCUAGAUCACCUUCCCACCACGCCUUGCUCGGGAAUCCAUCUUGGCCAAAAGAUGCACCUGCAGAUCAGGGCGGGGCCUGGGUCUGGUCAGGCGUCAAAGAGAAAACAAGAUAACUGGCCAAAGGAAAGCCAAGACCUGGGAGAACUGUCCUAUGGAAGUGGUUUGAAUCACCUCUCUGGUGCGCUCCUCAUUCAGGGGGAUGCCUGCACCCUCACUCCUCUUUGCUUCUGCAUUAGAUAAACAAACUAGCCCCCCCCCACAGUGUAUCAUGUUCCUGGCAUUAAACAUUGUAUCUAUCUUUGUCUCCUUGAAACAUUCUUGCUUCCAAUGGGGAUGGGGGCAAGAAUCAGGGCAAUUCUGCUUUAGCCUGUAGCUGACCUAGUGGCUGGGAUUCCCAGUUUUCAUCCAGGCUGCCCAGGUUCAAUUCCUGAGCAGAGAAUAAAAAUCUCGCUUCAAGCCAUCACCCACUGCUGUCUCUCCAAGAUCAUUCCUAUGGCCUCCCUGUCUUCUGCAGUUCAUGGAAAUGGGGUUUGUCCACUUUUUUUUUAGUCUCUUUAGAGCCACACCCACGACAUAAGGAGGUUCCCAGGCUAGGGGUAGAAUUCAAGCUAUGGCCAGCCACCUACUCCAGAGCCACACAGAGUCUGCAACCUACACCACACACAGCUCGUGGCAAUGCUGGACCCUUAACCCUCUGAGCAAGGCCAGGGAUUGAACCCACAUCCUCAUGGAUGAUAGUUGGAUUCACUAACCACUGAGGGAUGAUGGGAAUUCCUCGUCCACUUCUUAUAAAGAAGUAGGGGAGGAGAAAAAGUGGUCUCAAAGCACCCACCCACAGCCCAGGGCCUGACUCCGCAGGGAAAAUGUUGUAUGUUCAUACAUCUGAACUUUUUCUUUCUGUCCUUUUAGGGCUAAACCCACAGCAAGUGGAAGUUCCCAGGCGAGGGCUCACUAUGCCACUUGUCGCCACCAUAGCCACUGCAGGCCAGAUCAAAGCCAAUCUGCAACCUACACUGCAGAUUGCAGCAACCCUGGAUCCUAAAUUCAUUGAGUGAGGCCAGGAAUCAAACCUGCCUUUUCAAGGAUACUAGUUCACUUCUUAACCCCCUGAGCCACAACGGAAACUCCCAUCUGAGCAUUUUCAGUGAUUCUAAGAUGACGCAGUAGGAAUUUGGGAAUGGACAUCCCUAUAGAAAUUCCAUUUUAGGGAUUAAUUCGAAGUUACCUUUUUUUCUUUAUCCAAAAAAAAAAAAAAAAAAAAAAGUAGCACAUCCAUGCAUCACUAUCAAAAAGUAAAAAGAAGUCUGAGCCACACUGGCCACUGCCUAACGAUUUAGCCUUCUAGUGAAGUUCAUCUGAAAUCUUUCUAUUCAUGACAGGAGAGAGUGGACAGGGAAGGGGAGACAGAGGGAUGGGGCAGACAGAUCGGCAGAGGUUCAGAAAGUCCGC
rnacentral:lncRNA from 1 species